AUUGAACGCUGGCGGCAGGCCUAACACAUGCAAGUCGAGCGGAUGAACGGUGCUUGCUCCUGGUUUCAGCGGCGGACGGGUGAGUAAUACCUAGGAAUCUGCCUGGUUGUGGUGGAUAACGUCCGGAAACGGGCGCUAAUACCGCCUACGUCCUGAGGGAGAAAGUGGGGGAUCUUCGGACCUCUCGCUCUCAGAUGAGCCUACGUCGGAUUAGCUAGUUGGUGGGUGAAAGGCCUACCAAGGCGACGAUCCGUAACUGGUCUGAGAGGAUGAUCAGUCACACUGGAGGUGGAACACGGUCCAGGCUCCUACGGGAGGCAGCAGUGGGGAAUAUGAGGCAAUGGGCGAAAGCCUGGUCCAGCCAUGCCGCGUGUGUGAAGAAGGUCUUCGGAUUGUAAAGAACUUUAAGUUGGGAGGAAGGGCAGUAAGUUAAUACCUUGCUGUUUUGACGUUAACAACAGAAUAAGCACCGGCUAACUUCGUG
rnacentral:rRNA from 1 species